CCAAUAGCGUAUAUUAAAGUUGUUGCAGUUAAAAAGCUCGUAGUUGAAUUUCGAGAUCAAAUUGUUGGUCGUGCCUCGGUACGUACUGGUAAUUUUGGUUUCUCCCUUCUGAAGAACCAUGAUGUCAUUAAUUUGGUGUCUUGGGGAAUCAGGACUGUUACUUUGAAAAAAUUAGAGUGUUUAAAGCAGGCUCGCGCUUGAAUACAUUAGCAUGGAAUAA
rnacentral:rRNA from 1 species